CUCAUUCCCAGGAAUUCCUGCUGCCUCUGCAGCAACCCACCCUGCUGUGCCUCCCCGUCCUCCUCCCCAUGCGCGCUAGGUUGAAAUGAAGCCUCUCACACUUCUCUCAGGCACAAACAUGUUCUCCCAUGCUGCAGCUCCAGUUCUGCAGCUGCCAGGGCAGAAGGCAGGGCGCUGCGGCAGGGCCCAGCCAGGCUUGCGCCACCUUCCAGGCCCCGAGCGCUCGCACGACGCCUGCGCUUGCCGUCUGUGUGCGCACGGGGUGAUGGCUCAGGGUGCACGGCCUCCAUCUGUGCGUGCCGGCACCGAGCACGCAAGCGUGUGCCUUCCACCUGCCCCUGGGACUGCCUGGCAUCAAGCACGUUCUCAGAGCUGUGGUGGGAGCAGAGGGCUGCCCCCAGACAAGUGGCCUUGUUCCUCUCCUUCCAUUUGUGCAAAAUUUCUGGGUGAAGAUCAGGAAUGUGUUGAAGAGCAGCCCAAAAGUGUCCCCAGUGUAAUGGCAUCUGAAUCCUGAAUAGGUCCUUGAGGUGUCGCUCCUGUGACAAUAAUGCCAAUAAUGAUAAUAACAGCAAGGGGAGGAUCACAAGUGCAGCACAAUGUAUUUGCUUCUAGCCUUCAGAUGGAUCAAUACUCUGACCUUCAAAGUCAAGGCAUAUUUGUCUACCAAAGAUUUUCUUAAUACUUAUUUGGAAUUUUAAUGUGUUUUUAUACUGCACCUCUGCAGCUUCAGCGAUCAUUUGUGGUGCCAGGGCAUCUGUGUGCCUCAGCAUGAAGAGGUGUUCAAAAUAGCCUCUGUAAAAGGUCUCAUAGAGCUUCACACUCUUUCUAAAAUGGCUGCUUUGUAGCACACAUAUCUCUGAAGGAAUAAAUGGUGAUAGGUGGUUAGAGAUUUGCCUGCAGUGACCUGAAUGAUUCAUUGACAACAGGGCUGUGUGUGAGCGGGUGCUGAGAAACCCGUGCAGCUCAGCCUGCCUGCGAGCCUGCCAUCAACCAGGGAACACUGCACUCUCCCCUUGUGUACAUACCCCACUUGCAAAAGCCCCAGAGCAUGGCUGUCCGAGCCUGCUUCAUCCUUGCUGGCCCAGGUGUCAGCCAGGCUGGUGGGUGUCACGUAAGCAGGACCUCAUCUGGGACUCAUCUUGAGCAGCUGGGCUGAGCUCUGGCUGGCCAUGACGGCAUGUCAUGAUCUGUGUCUCCCGGGUGCCUGAUCUGCAGAGGACGCUGGUCUCUCUGCUCUGUCAGCUGCUUCAGCUCACGCAGCUUUAGAGGCUCACACUUCAC
rnacentral:lncRNA from 1 species